rnacentral:rRNA from 1 species
GACGAACGCUGGCGGCGCGCUUAACACAUGCAAGUCGAGCGAGAUCCAGGCCUUCGGGCCUGGGGACAGCGGCGAACGGGUGAGUAACACGUGGGUAAUCAACCCUCGACACUGGGAUAGCCCGGGGAAACCCGGAUUAAUACCGGAUGGCCCUUUGGAUCCUCGGAUCUGAAGGAAAAGGUAGCUUCGGCCUCCGGUCGAGGACGAGCCCGCGGCGGAUUAGCUUGUUGGUGAGGUAACGGCUCACCAAGGCGACGAUCCGUAGCUGGUCUGAGAGGACGAUCAGCCACACUGGGACUGGGACACGGCCCAGACUCCUACGGGAGGCAGCAGUGGGGAAUCUUGCGCUAAUGCGGGAAACCGUGACGCAGCGACGCCGCGUGAGGGAAGAAGGCCUUCGGGUUGUAAACCUCUUUCAGGAGGGACGAAGCCACUCGGGUGAAUAGCCCAGAGGGUGACGGUACCUCCAGAAGAAGCCCCGGCUAACUACGUGCCAGCAGCCGCGGUAACAC